GAGUUUGAUCCUGGCUCAGAUUGAACGCUGGCGGCAGGCUUAACACAUGCAAGUCGAGCGGGGGAUAUUGCUUCGGUAAUUGACCUAGCGGCGGACGGGUGAGUAAUACUUAGGAAUCUGCCUAUUAAUGGGGGACAACAUCUCGAAAGGGAUGCUAAUACCGCAUACGCCCUACGGGGGAAAGCAGGGGAUCACUUGUGACCUUGCGUUAAUAGAUGAGCCUAAGUCGGAUUAGCUAGUUGGUGGGGUAAAGGCCUACCAAGGCGACGAUCUGUAGCGGGUCUGAGAGGAUGAUCCGCCACACUGGGACUGAGACACGGCCCAGACUCCUACGGGAGGCAGCAGUGGGGAAUAUUGGACAAUGGGGGGAACCCUGAUCCAGCCAUGCCGCGUGUGUGAAGAAGGCCUUAUGGUUGUAAAGCACUUUAAGCGAGGAGGAGGCUCUCUUGGUUAAUACCCAAGAUGAGUGGACGUUACUCGCAGAAUAAGCACCGGCUAACUCUGUGCCAGCAGCCGCGGUAAUACAGAGGGUGCGAGCGUUAAUCGGAUUUACUGGGCGUAAAGCGUGCGUAGGCGGCUUUUAAAGUCGGAUGUGAAAUCCCCGAGCUUAACUUGGGAAUUGCAUUCGAUACUGGGAAGCUAGAGUAUGGGAGAGGAUGGUAGAAUUCCAGGUGUAGCGGUGAAAUGCGUAGAGAUCUGGAGGAAUACCGAUGGCGAAGCAGCCAUCUGGCCUAAUACUGACGCUGAGGUACGAAAGCAUGGGGAGCAAACAGGAUUAGAUACCCUGG
rnacentral:rRNA from 1 species